rnacentral:rRNA from 1 species
GGGUUGUGAGGUUAAGCGAACAAGCGUACACGGUGGAUGCCCUGGCAGUCAGAGGCGAUGAAGGACGUGCUAAUCUGCGAAAAGCGCCGGUAAGGUGAUAUGAACCGUUAUAACCGGCGAUGUCCGAAUGGGGAAACCCGGUGCACUUCGGUGCAUCAUCGUUAGCUGAAUACAUAGGCUAACGAAGCGAACCGGGGGAACUGAAACAUCUAAGUACCCCGAGGAAAAGAAAUCAACCGAGAUUCCCCCAGUAGCGGCGAGCGAACGGGGAACAGCCCAGAGCCUGAAUCAGCUUGUGUGUCAGUGGAACGGUCUGGAAAGGCCGGCGAUACAGGGUGACAGCCCCGUACACGAAGGCACACAGGCUGUGAGCUCGAUGAGUAGGGCGGGACACGUGAUAUCCUGUCUGAAGAUGGGGGGACCAUCCUCCAAGGCUAAAUACUCCUGACUGACCGAUAGUGAACCAGUACCGUGAGGGAAAGGCGAAAAGAACCCCGGCGAGGGGAGUGAAACAGAACCUGAAACCGUGUACGUACAAGCAGUGGGAGCCUUCGUAAGAGGGUGACUGCGUACCUUUUGUAUAAUGGGUCAGCGACUUAUAUUCUGUAGCAAGGUUAACCGUAUAGGGGAGCCGAAGGGAAACCGAGUCUUAACCGGGCGUUAAGUUGCAGGGUAUAGACCCGAAACCCGGUGAUCUAGCCAUGGGCAGGUUGAAGGUUGGGUAACACUAACUGGAGGACCGAACCGACUAAUGUUGAAAAAUUAGCGGAUGACCUGUGGCUGGGGGUGAAAGGCCAAUCAAACCGGGAGAUAGCUGGUUCUCCCCGAAAGCUAUUUAGGUAGCGCCUCGUGAAUUCAUCUCCGGGGGUAGAGCACUGUUUCGGCUAGGGGGCCAUCCCGGCUUACCAACCCGAUGCAAACUGCGAAUACCGGAGAAUGUUAUCACGGGAGACACACGGCGGGUGCUAACGUCCGUCGUGAAGAGGGAAACAACCCAGACCGCCAGCUAAGGUCCCAAAGUCAUGGUUAAGUGGGAAACGAUGUGGGAAGGCCCAGACAGCCAGGAUGUUGGCUUAGAAGCAGCCAUCAUUUAAAGAAAGCGUAAUAGCUCACUGGUCGAGUCGGCCUGCGCGGAAGAUGUAACGGGGCUAAACCAUGCACCGAAGCUGCGGCAGCGACGCUUAUGCGUUGUUGGGUAGGGGAGCGUUCUGUAAGCCUGUGAAGGUGUGCUGUGAGGCAUGCUGGAGGUAUCAGAAGUGCGAAUGCUGACAUAAGUAACGAUAAAGCGGGUGAAAAGCCCGCUCGCCGGAAGACCAAGGGUUCCUGUCCAACGUUAAUCGGGGCAGGGUGAGUCGACCCCUAAGGCGAGGCCGAAAGGCGUAGUCGAUGGGAAACAGGUUAAUAUUCCUGUACUUGGUGUUACUGCGAAGGGGGGACGGAGAAGGCUAUGUCGGCCGGGCGACGGUUGUCCCGGUUUAAGCGUGUAGGCUGACUUUCCAGGCAAAUCCGGAAAGUUAAGGCUGAGGCGUGAUGACGAGGCACCACGGUGCUGAAGUGACAAAUGCCCUGCUUCCAGGAAAAGCCUCUAAGCAUCAGGUAACAUCAAAUCGUACCCCAAACCGACACAGGUGGUCAGGUAGAGAAUACCAAGGCGCUUGAGAGAACUCGGGUGAAGGAACUAGGCAAAAUGGUGCCGUAACUUCGGGAGAAGGCACGCUGACAUGUAGGUGAAGCCCCUGCGGGUGGAGCUGAAGUCAGUCGAAGAUACCAGCUGGCUGCAACUGUUUAUUAAAAACACAGCACUGUGCAAACACGAAAGUGGACGUAUACGGUGUGACGCCUGCCCGGUGCCGGAAGGUUAAUUGAUGGGGUUAUCGCAAGAGAAGCUCCUGAUCGAAGCCCCGGUAAACGGCGGCCGUAACUAUAACGGUCCUAAGGUAGCGAAAUUCCUUGUCGGGUAAGUUCCGACCUGCACGAAUGGCGUAAUGAUGGCCAGGCUGUCUCCACCCGAGACUCAGUGAAAUUGAACUCGCUGUGAAGAUGCAGUGUACCCGCGGCAAGACGGAAAGACCCCGUGAACCUUUACUACAGCUUGACACUGAACAUUGAGCCUUGAUGUGUAGGAUAGGUGGGAGGCUUUGAAGCGUGGACGCCAGUCUGCGUGGAGCCGACCUUGAAAUACCACCCUUUAAUGUUUGAUGUUCUAACCUGGCGCCGUAAUCCGGCGUGGGGACAGUGUCUGGUGGGUAGUUUGACUGGGGCGGUCUCCUCCCAAAGUGUAACGGAGGAGCACGAAGGUCAGCUAAUCCUGGUCGGACAUCAGGAGGUUAGUGCAAUGGCAUAAGCUGGCUUGACUGCGAGAGUGACGGCUCGAGCAGGUGCGAAAGCAGGUCAUAGUGAUCCGGUGGUUCUGUAUGGAAGGGCCAUCGCUCAACGGAUAAAAGGUACUCCGGGGAUAACAGGCUGAUACCGCCCAAGAGUUCAUAUCGACGGCGGUGUUUGGCACCUCGAUGUCGGCUCAUCACAUCCUGGGGCUGAAGUAGGUCCCAAGGGUAUGGCUGUUCGCCAUUUAAAGUGGUACGCGAGCUGGGUUUAGAACGUCGUGAGACAGUUCGGUCCCUAUCUGCCGUGGGCGCUGGAGAAUUGAGGGGGGCUGCUCCCAGUACGAGAGGACCGGAGUGGACGCAUCACUGGUGUUCGGGUUGUCAUGCCAAUGGCACUGCCCGGUAGCUAAAUGCGGAAGAGAUAAGUGCUGAAAGCAUCUAAGCACGAAACUUGCCCCGAGAUGAGUUCUCCCUGAGACUGUAAGUCUCCUGAAGGAACGUUGAAGACGACG